rnacentral:lncRNA from 1 species
AAUAUAUUUUAAAUUAUUAUUUAAAAAGUAAAACUAAAAUAACUUGUUGUAUGAAACUUUAGGGAUAAGAAAGAUUUUUUCCUGUUACAAGCGUGACCCAGUACCUUGAUAUUGAUUAUAGCAUUGAAAGCAAAUAUUAAUUUGCAAAUCAGAAUCAACUGCCGCCGCUUCUGUUCCAGCUGUAAGCAUUCAAUGAAAUAUAAACGUGGAUUUUGCUUAUCUAAAACAUUUAUUGCUUGCAUGAGCUUCGUCAUUAAAGCAGAAACAUAUUGUGACAAAUCAAAUCUUGCCUCUUCAAUGAAAUUGAUUGCCGUAAUAUACAACAACAUUAACGAAAAAUGUUAAAGUAUAUCGCUGGUAAAAAGAAUACUUACUCUCAAUUGAGUGAACAAAUUGAUAGUAAUCUGCAAAAAAAAAAAAAAUCUAAAUUAAUAUAAUUACUCAGAGAAUAAUAAUUGCACAUUUAUAAGCAUUUAUUUGUGGGCUGCAACGAUUUGCUUUGUUGCUUUCGAAAAAAGAAUGGCCAAUAUUGCGAACCAGUAAUUCAUAUCACAAUUUGUACACUCAGUUUCUCCAAGAAGCACACAUAUUUCUUGAAGGAUUAAUUUAAUUAGUUGAAUCCGAAUACACGAUUGCAUCCAUAGGAAAAGUUCGACCGUACAUCUUUUUCCGGCAUCAUUGGACCAUAUGCUUGUGUGAUCACAGUACUGAAUGAUAAAGUAUAGUUGUUUACAGUCUCGUUUAAAAGUUCCUCAUUAUUAAGUACUUAAGUUGUCAUAUGGUUCGUUACAUGAUUUGUUUCAAUUUAAAAUCAAAACACAUGCUCUUCGUUAGUAACUAAAUACACACAGCCGUACUCUUGAAACCACUUCUAUUUUAGAUCUAAUGGUUAAAAAAGAAAAAUACAAACUAAAGGUGUGAUGCACCAGUUGCAUCGUAGUAGUUGGAUCCAAUUUUGAAUUUAGAAAAUAAUAUAAGUGUCAAUAACUUUGUUUUUAAUUAAAUCACUUUUUUUCAAAAAA